CCGCCCCCGGGCUCUGCCCCGGCCCGCCCCGCCUCCCGCUCCCCGCCAUCACGUACCUGCGCUCCCGCACCCCGCGCUCUGCGCGGUCCCGCCGUCUCCAGCCGCUCCGAGAAGUCAGCCGGCGUCACCCAGGAGCGCCCGUCCCGAUGGAUUCGUACGAACGGAACUCGAUGUCUUGCUGUGCAGGCUGGAAAGAAGCGAUAGAGGCCAAUUAAAAAAGAAAAAAAAAAAACACAACGCGAGUGUUGCAUUGAAGUUCCUCUGCAACAGUUCGUAUAUUUCUAUCCUCUCCCUUCCCCCAAAGUCCGAGAGCAGAGCAAAGUGAACGCUCACAACACCGAGGGACAGAGGCUGCUCCCGGCUCUGUCUCUUCAGGACGUGUCCUCUCUAUCCACCCUCCUCCUUCAACACUUUCCAGCACCGCUUUAUCCACUGACAGCUGUGUGUUUGGGGAUGAGGACUAUCUCUCACAUAGCACAAAGGGAUUACUGCAAUACAAGUCCCACCAUUGCAGAGAAUUCUUGUUGUUUUCCAAUCAGCUUUUAGUUAAUGUACUACACGCACCUGUUAUUUUUUCUUUUGCCCUUUUAAAACUGAUAUUUUAUAUAAAACUCCCGAACUCCAGAGGAACUGGCAGCGCUUCACAAACCACAACCUGAGUCUUUCCAAGCGGUGAGAACUCCAAUCUCAAUCCAGAAGAACAGUCGAGCACAGGCCCAGCUCCAAGCACCUGCAUCUAUGGGCUUGACAGCUCCUGUCCUUCCCCAGAGAGACACAAAGAGCAUGCUUCGCUACAACAGAGGCCAGGAAAGAGCUAAAAGCUCUGCAUGAAAGAGGCCAGGAAAACCAAGGAGAGUAGAAAGAUACGGUUUUAUUAUCAUUUGAAAGAGUCCUAUUGUAAAGUGAGCGCGACUCAGCUUUCCUAGAAGGGCUGAACUGCAUUGGCUCUGACUGUGGAGCCUACAAAGUGAGAACGGAGCAAAUAUGAGAGCUGCCUGCCGAGCUACCAUCACAAAGAAGACUUAAGCAUAAUGGCAAAUAAGCUAUAAACAGCAGAAGAUUACAAGUCUGCCUAUCGGAAAGGGAGGACCUGGAAGAGCCUUUCUGUGGGAACACUGGAGACAAAACCAAACCAACCGGACCUUGCUAUGUGUUACAUGAUGUGAUGCACGAAACAGCAGAGGAAUGAAUCUGGUGACUCAGCCCUAUUUCAGUCACACAAUGGGAUUUUGGCCUCACUACUACAGAGAGAACAAGCUUCAUAAGAACCCUCGAUUGAAAUGUUCAGAAAAGAAAACAGAAGAUUCCUCAUUGCUUUCUCAAACAGAACUGGCAAGGAAAAAAGAAAAUAGUUUAGACCAAAACUAUUUUUUCCAUUAGCAUUUACUGCUGGUCCUGUCUCCAACAUAUCAGCUAGGCACGUCCCUGGUGGGACAGAGAGCCAAGCAGCAAUGGAUGAAGAGAAGUGAAGAUGAGUCCAGGAUGAGCCAAUAAGAAGGAAACGGACGAUGACGUAGCAUGGAUGAGCUUUGAUGGAAGCAUCAGAAGCUGUCUAGGACUCAGAAAGGACCUUAAAAGAGCACAGAUGAAUCUCAGUGUAUUUUAGUCCUAUUGCUCUUGUGAAUGCCUCUUUCAGGUGUGCUGUGUUUCCAGCUUGACCCCUGACUGAAGCAUUUGCACACUCAGGAGAGCAUCUGUGCCUAUCAGAAGACUGAUUAGACUCUCUGAGAACAGUUUAUGGUUCUAUGUUUGCAGGUUGGCUUUUUGUUUGUUUUGUUUCUGUCACUGACAGCUUAGCCCUUAGAAAGGGCCUUUAUUUAAUUCUGAUCUCACUUUUCUGAGAUAAAUAGCAAGCACCAAAGACAGAAGUGGAGUUUUAGAAGUAAGAUCCCAAUCUUUUGCAACUCCAAACCUUAGCAGAAGAAGAAAGAAAAAGAUGAAGUUAAUGAGAUGGAAGUCUAAAUUGGUUUUGGUGAUGAACAAUCAUAGAAUGGCCUGGGUUGAAAAGGACCAUAACGAUCAUCUAGCUUCAACCCUCCUGCUGUGUGCAGGGUCGACAACCACCAGACCAGGCUGCCCAGAGCCACAUCCAGUCUGGGUAUACAAUACGAUGAUAUUAGGCAGUUUGAUAAUAGUUGAUCUUGGUGUUGAAUAAACAAUUUUUUUCAAAGGCAGCAACAGAAUGCAGGCCCAGAAAAGGUAAAUAAUAGUGGAUGUCCUCAUAUAGAGAAAAAUAAAGCAGGAAAGCUUAGCUGGAACCUCAGACAAGGCAGAAACAGUGAGUCAACAAGAUCCGGCUUUUCCAAGAUACAGUCCAAGCUGCCUCAGUCUCUAAAGCCACACCUUCAUGUCAGUUCCUGAGCUCUGAGCAACCAAGUCAUAGCUUCAAUAACAAAGUCACUUUCAAAGUAUUUUAGGAAAACAGUAUGUCAGUGCAUGAAAGUUAAGAACACUGCUGUACGAUACAGCUUCAAGAAACACAGUAAGCAAUGGAACCCAGAUUGCUUAGCUCCUCAAAUACCUCCUCGAAUUUCAAAGGCUGCAACAGCUAAAGAGUAUCUUUUGGAAACCAACCCAUCCUAAAGCAGCUUUAGGCAAAUAGAGCCCAAAUUCUGACAGGGAGUCACCGAGCCCAGGGUCCAGAAGGGGAGGCCACAGUAGCACAGGCUGAAAGCAAGCGAAGAGUGAGAGAAGGGAGCGCUGCUCCUCUUUCUGUUCCUGCAUGAUUCAAGGCUGAAUUACCCUUUCCCAGACAGCUACAGCCCUUGAGCUAGAGCACAGUUGAUGCUGCAGCUGCAAGGCAGGAAGCCCAGAGCCAGCUACAGACGACAGAAUCUUUCUGGAGCAGAAGAUAAGAGCUCAAGUUCAUAGAAUCUCAGAAUCCUUGGAGUUGGGAGGAAUCUUUGAAGGUCAGUUAGUCCAACUCCCCUGCCAUGAACAGGGACAUCCACAGCUGGAGCAGGUUGCUCAGGGCCUGAUCCAGUCUUGCCUUGAAAUUCUGCAGGGACAGGGCAUCCAUCACAUCUCUGGGCAACCUGUUCCAGUGCCUCACCACCCUCACUGUGAAAGACUUUUUGCUUAUAUCCAGAGUUCUCAGACAAUCACUGUCUGUGGCAAUUCCAAAACCUGUUGAAGAAACAAUUUCCUCUCUAUUCAUAAGUGAUACAUGGGCGCACUGAUUAGAUCACUGACUCCUUGUGCUUAUCAAGGUAACUUCUGGUUAUGCAGAACUGCUACGUAUCUAAAUGGGGAUGGAGCUCAUAGUGUGACGUGUAUAGCUGUGAGCAGACCAUGCUUAAUACAGGCAACUUUCUGCAACACAUCUACUCACACACAAGUCCCAUCAGCAUCAUGUCCACUGUUCAUCACACACCAGAGGAAAGCAACAGGAACAAAAUGGAAAGAGUAUGGUAAUACUCUCAACAAACAAG
ensembl:lncRNA